GUGUGUGUGUGUGUGUGUGUGUUAAAGUUACAGAGUAGGAUAGAUAGAUAUUCUAUCUAUCCUACUCUGUAACUUUAACACACACAUCUACCA